GGAGGUGCUGUGGCUCAGUGGUAGAGCUUCUGUUUUGUGGGCAGAAAGUCCCAGGUUCAAUUCCUGGCAUCUCCA